rnacentral:rRNA from 1 species
GUCACGCUGUAAACGAUGUCGAUUUGGAGUUUGGGGGCAUGACCCUUGGGCUCCGGAGCUAACGCGUUAAAUCGACGCUGGGGAGUACGGCCGCAAGGUUAAAACUCAAAUGAAUUAACGGGGGCCCGCACAAGCGGUGGAGCAUGUGGUUUAAUUCGAUGCAACGCGAAGAACCUUACCUGGUCUUGACAUCCAUAGAAUCUUUCAGAGAUGAGAGAGUGCCUUCGGGAGCUAUGAGACAGGUGCUGCAUGGCUGUCGUCAGCUCGUGUUGUGAAAUGUUGGGUUAAGUCCCGCAACGAGCGCAACCCCUAUCCUUUGUUGCCAGCACGUAGUGGUGGGAACUCAAAGGAGACUGCCGUUGAUAAAGCGGAGGAAGGUGGGGACGACGUCAAGUCAUCAUGGCCCUUACGACCAGGGCUACACACGUGCUACAAUGGCGUAUACAGAGGGAUGCGAAGGUGCGAACUGGAGCGGACCUCACAAAGUACGUCUAAGUCCGGAUUGGAGUCUGCAACUCGACUCCAUGAAGUCGGAAUCGCUAGUAAUCGUGAAUCAGAAUGUCACGGUGAAUACGUUCCCGGGCCUUGUACACACCGCCCGUCACACCAUGGGAGUGGGUUGCACCAGAAGUAGAUAGCUUAACCUUCGGGAGGGCGUUUACCACGGUGUGGUUCAUGACUGGGGUGAAGUCGUAACAAGGUAACCA